AUGAACGCUAGCGGCAGGCUUAAUACAUGCAAGUCGAGGGGCAGCGCGAGUAGCAAUACUUGGCGGCGACCGGCGCACGGGUGCGUAACACGUAUGCAACUUACCUUUAACUGGGGCAUAACGCUGAGAAAUCGGUGCUAAUUCCCCAUAACAUUGCGAAAUGGCAUCAUUUUGCAAUUAAAGCUCCGGCGGUUAAAGAUGGGCAUGCGCGACAUUAGCUGGUUGGUGAGGUAACGGCUCACCAAGGCUGCGAUGUCUAGGGGUUCUGAGAGGACUAACCCCCACACUGGUACUGAGACACGGACCAGACUCCUACGGGAGGCAGCAGUAGGGAAUAUUGGGCAAUGGACGCAAGUCUGACCCAGCCAUGCCGCGUGCAGGAUGAAGGCCCUAUGGGUUGUAAACUGCUUUUGUACGGGAAUAAACCCUCCGAUGCGUCGGGGGCUGAAGGUACCGUAAGAAUAAGCACCGGCUAACUCCGU
rnacentral:rRNA from 1 species